rnacentral:lncRNA from 1 species
GGCACCACCCAGCACAUAGCCCCACUGCGACUCACGGGGCCGCACGCCACACAGGAGCUCAGACUACUGUGCCUGCCAAGCCCUGUCCGGGUGGCCGUGGGGCUCACUUUACUGGCGAAUGAGCAGGGCUCUAAGUGUGGUACGCCCUCUGCCACCUGCUGUGUCCUGGUGGUGAUGUGGGGCUGCCCAGGUGGAGCCUCCUUGCCUGGCCUCAGCAGGACCCAGCCCACCCUCCAGACACCCGCUGAGACCGGGAAGUGAUGCUCCUCCCAAGCCACAGAGCUUAGGGACAGCUGGGGCUGCAGCUCAACACAGCCAUCCCCAGCCAUGAGGCUGCCUCCUUGGGGUUGUUGGCUGAGUGGCAAGCAGGAGGGUGCCACCAUCUGGGAGCAGAGGACGAUGCACAGCUUUGCUGUGCAGAUGCAUGAGGCUGCUCGAUGGACCUCCCUCCUGGAGGGGCUCGGUUCCUGGCCAACCAAGACUGGAGUGGCCUGAUCCCACUCAGGGAUUCCCUGGCUGUUCUCUGACCCUGUCUGCAGGAAGCAGCUCUGUGUUCAAGAGAGGAAUUCAAGCAGUGUCCUGAUGGCAGAGUGAGUGAGGCGUACAGGUGCAUCCCCACGUAAGGUGAGCAAGGUGAGCAGAUGACAUCCCCACGUAGGGUGAGCGAGGUGAGCAGGUGCAUCCCCAAGUAGGGUGAGCGAGGUGAGCAGGUGCAUCCCC